GGCUUCGUGGUCGAAUGGUAAGGACACUUGUCUCUCACACUGGAGUUCCGGGUUUGAUCCACGUCGAGGAGCUA